rnacentral:rRNA from 1 species
CCUACGGGUGGCAGCAGUGGGGAAUAUUGCACAAUGGGGGAAACCCUGAUGCAGCGACGCCGCGUGAGGGAAGAAGUAAUUCGUUACGUAAAGCUCCAUCAGCAGGGAAGCAAUACUGACCUUACGGUCAGCAGACGGUACCUGAGUAAGAAGCCCCGGCGAACUACGUGCCAGCAGCGGCGGUGAUACGUAGGGGGCAAGCGUUAUCCGGAUUUACUGGGUGUAAAGGGAGCGUAGACGGUGCGCCAAGUCUGGAGUGAAAUGCCGCGGCUUAACUGCGGAACUGCUGUGGAAACUGGCGAACUAGAGUGCGGGAGGGGUAAGCGGAAUUCCUAGUGUAGCGGUGAAAUGCGUAGAUAUUAGGAAGAACACCGGUGGCGAAGGCGGCUUACUGGACCGUAACUGACGUUGAGGCUCGAAAGCGUGGGGAGCAAACAGGAUUAGAUACCCCAGUAGUC